GCGAAGCUAGUUGUAUUAUUAGUUAAUGCAAGAUCGACUACGUCGACUAAAGUUCUAGGUAGAAUAAUGAUGAUGACAAUUUUUUACCUAUAUGUCUUGACCAAGUCUCGUGCCAGCAGUCGCGGUAAUACGUGGAAGACUAGUGUUAUUCAUCUUUAUUAGGUUUAAAGGGUACCUAGACGGUAUUUCUAGCCCAAAAUAGGGUACGGAUUUACUAGAGUUUUAUGUGAGGAGGGGAGUACUCGUGGAGUAGAGAUGAAAUUUUGUUAUACUAUGAGGUAACUGGUGGCGGCGAAAGCAACCUUCUAUGUAUAAACUGACGUUGAGGGACGAAGGCUUGGGUAGCAAAUAGGAUUAGAUACCCUAGUAGUCCAAGCAGACAAUUCUGAAUGCCAUAGAUUAGAUUAUUUUUGGUCUAUAAAUGAAAGUGUAAGCAUUCCACCUUAGGAGUAAUGUGGCAACACAGGAACUGAAAUCAUUAGACCGUUUCUGAAACCAGUAGUGAAGUAUGUUAUUUAAAUAGAUGGUCCACAAAAAACCUUACCACAACUUGAAUAAUUUAUAGCUCAUACAAGCGUUGCACGGCUGUCUUCAGUUAAUGUCGU
rnacentral:rRNA from 1 species